UCCAUUGGAAUAACAGCAGCAGAAGGCACC
rnacentral:piRNA from 2 species